rnacentral:lncRNA from 1 species
GGUGUGAUCACGGCUCACUAUAGUCUCGAUCUCCUGGGCCUCCCACAUCAGCCUUAUCAUUCAUUCUGGGGGCAGCCCUCUGGCAUGUAAUGAGCAGUCCUAUGGAGAGGCCCAUGUGACAGUAGCCAUGCGAGUGACACUGGAAGUGAAACCUGCAGCUCCAGUCAAGCCUUUAGAAGACUGCAGCCCUGGCUGACAGCUUGACAGCAAACUCAUGAGAGACUCUCAGCUUGAACAACUCAGCUAACCUGUUCCUGGGUUCCUGGUCCUCAAAAACUGUUAUAAAAGACAUUGUGGCUACCAUCUCUCAUCACUCACUCAAAGGGAAGCCAACCACCAUGCAAUGAGAAUCUCAGGUAAUGAGGACCUGAGACCUGUUGUCAAUCACGUGACUAAGCUUGGGAGGAGAUUCUCCAGCCCCAGUCAAGCCUCAGAAGACUUCAGCCCUAGGUGACAGCUUGAUGAUAAUCUCGGGAGGCAGAACCACCCAACUAAGCCACUCCUGGAUUCCUGACCCUGACUCUGACCCUAGAAACAGUGUGAGCUGGAAUUCUGUGAAGCACAUGACCUCAAGUCUUUGGAUAAAUGGAAACACAGCUUAUGCCGGAAAGAUGGAAGGCUGGCUGUACUAAUAUCAGAAAUGGAAGAGGAGAGACAUCACUAGAGAUCCCAUGGAUAUUGAAAGGAUAAUAAAGGAGUAUUAUGAGCAUUGUUA